rnacentral:rRNA from 1 species
AUACGGAGGGUGCAAGCGUUAUCCGGAUUUAUUGGGUUUAAAGGGUCCGUAGGCGGAUCUGUAAGUCAGUGGUGAAAUCUCAUAGCUUAACUAUGAAACUGCCAUUGAUACUGCAGGUCUUGAGUAAGGGAGAAGUAGCUGGAAUAAGUAGUGUAGCGGUGAAAUGCAUAGAUAUUACUUAGAACACCAAUUGCGAAGGCAGGUUACUAUGUCUUAACUGACGCUGAUGGACGAAAGCGUGGGGAGCGAACAGGAUUAGAUACCCCAGUAGUCC